rnacentral:tRNA from 1 species
GGGUGAUUAGCUCAGUGGUAGAGCGCUUCGUUGACAUCGAAGAGGUCACAGGUCCGAUCCCUGUAUCACCCACCA